GGACCAUGCAGGAGAUCCAUAGGUCAGCACCGGGCGUAUCAUUUGCUUGUAAACUCUGGCCUUAGUUCGUAGGCAGAGUUUACCUGACAGCAGAGGAUAGCAGGCAUGGAGCAGGAGUCUUGCCUUGGCGAUGGUGUUUGCCAUAUGGUCGUGCCAUACUAGCCGCUUGUCGUAUGUAAGUCCAAGAUAGGUUAUCUUGGACCUCCAUGGCAGCUUCUGUUUUGCAAGCUCUAGUAGGCCGAAUCGGGGUGUGCACGUCCCACUCCCAUACAUACAAAACUUUACCACUUCACGAGAAUAAAAUAUCUCCUUUCACUAAAACUCAGGCCAAUUGACAACGCCGCGGGGAAUCAAAAGGCAUAAAGGCAGGUAUUUGCCUUUUUGCUUUGUUGAAAUAUCGAAAUCCAGAUGUUGAUUGGUACUGAGCAGCAUCGUAGGCGAGCCCUGUUAUUUCAAAUCACAUGUUAUUUUAAAUAUCGAUAACAGGUACCGACUGUUCCAUAUCGAUGUCUGUUCCAAAAUACCUGUGACAAGUAUUUCGUGUCAUCCCUAUUGUGCACGAAGCAUCAAAUGUUCCAGUCGACUUUGCACGCAGCGAGUAAAUUUUUGGUACUUUUUUUCGCUCGCGUUUAUUGCUAAAUAAGUGUGUUUGGCGCUGUGGUCCAAACUGAUACUUCGAGAGGCGCCAUAAAUUAAUCGAUAGAAAUCCUGGGUGUUAAUCACACGACCUUAAAGCUUCCAGUGCGUCUGUGGAGACAAUUAUUUUGAAAACAGUCCGGUAAAGUUGCCCACCUGAUUGGGCAAAUGACCGUCCCCAAACAUGUCUGGUAGUUUUGCAAGCUCACCACAAAUUUACACAGCAAUAUUUUUAUUUUAUGUUAUAUUGCCACUGGUAGUGUGAAAAAAGCAGCGUAGAAGUAACAGAAGCGAUCUAAAAACACUGUUUUCGUGACUUGGAGAUGGUGGAAAUUGUCCGGAAAAGGUUAUGUUUGAUAGAUUUCUGCCCGUACAUUCCAGGUCAAAGGAAACCGUAUAGUUAGUCUUUGUACUACAACGGGAAAUCCCAUUAGAAUCAGAAGGUUGAUAAAAAUAUCUGGAUGUCUCUAAAAGACCCUGGAAGUUGCUAAGGAAAAGAACGUGAAGUUGCUGAAAGGAGAACGUUGAAGUUUCGGCUACGACCUUCUUUGGCUCAAGAGGAGGCGAUGUGACCUAACUUUUAUUAAGAAAAAAUGUUUGACGCCUCUGCUAUUGACUGUCAAGUUUUUUCUAAAAAAGUAUGUUUUUUGAAACUUUGGGCGAAUGGGGCGAUGGAUUGUAAUUAAACUCGCUGUGAAUUUGUUCUAAUGUAAGUACAGAAAGGAGAAAUCAGCAGAACUUUUUAUUUAGAGGCUGAAAUCAACUGAUUUUUUUUCGAGUUGAUGCACUACUUAAUAGGUUUUUGGCAUUUUUGUGCUCUUUAUACAAUUUUGUAGCA